rnacentral:rRNA from 1 species
CAGUCGCCGCGGUAAUACGGAGGGUGCAAGCGUUACUCGGAAUUACUGGGCGUAAAGCGUGCGUAGGUGGUGGUUUAAGUCCGUUGUGAAAGCCCUGGGCUCAACCUGGGAAUUGCAGUGGAUACUGGAUCACUAGAGUGUGGUAGAGGAUAGUGGAAUUUCCGGUGUAGCAGUGAAAUGCGUAGAGAUCGGAAGGAACAUCUGUGGCGAAGGCGACUAUCUGGGCCAACACUGACACUGAGGCACGAAAGCGUGGGGAGCAAACGGGAUUAGAUACCCCAGUAGUCCCUGUCUCUUAUAC